rnacentral:rRNA from 1 species
AUGGUGAGUGGCGCACGGGUGAGUAACGCGUGGAUAAUCUGCCCUCUACUGGGGAAUAACUAACCGAAAGGUUAGCUAAUACCGCAUGAGACCACAGUCACUACGGUGACAGAGGUUAAAGAUUUAUUGGUAGAGGAUGAGUCUGCGUGGGAUUAGCUAGUUGGUGGGGUAAUGGCCUACCAAGGCGACGAUCUCUAACAGGUCUGAGAGGAUGACCUGUCACACUGGAACUGAGACACGGUCCAGACUCCUACGGGAGGCAGCAGUAGGGAAUAUUGCGCAAUGGGCGAAAGCCUGACGCAGCGACGCCGCGUGAGUGAUGAAGGCCUUCGGGUCGUAAAGCUCUGUUGUA